rnacentral:rRNA from 1 species
UACAGAGGUGGCAAGCGUUGUUCGGAAUUACUGGGCGUAAAGGGCGCGUAGGCGGCCUUCUAAGUCAGACGUGAAAUCCCCCGGCUUAACCUGGGAACUGCGUCUGAUACUGGGAGGCUUGAGUGCAGGAGAGGAACGCGGAAUUCCAGGUGUAGCGGUGAAAUGCGUAGAUAUCUGGAGGAACACCGGUGGCGAAGGCGGCGUUCUGGACUGCAACUGACACUGAGAAACGAAAGCCAGGGUAGCAAACGGG